AUUGAACGCUGGCGGCAGGCCUAACACAUGCAAGUCGAGCGAGCGGCGGACGGGUGAGUAAUGUAUGGGGAUCUGCCUGAUGGAGGGGGAUAACUACUGGAAACGGUAGCUAAUACCGCAUACCAUCAGAUGUGCCCAGAUGGGAUUAGCUAGUAGGUGGGGUAAUGGCUCACCUAGGCGACGAUCCCUAGCUGGUCUGAGAGGAUGACCAGCCACGCUGGAACUGAGACACGGUGCAGACUCCUACGCGCGUCAGCAGUGGGGAAGAUUGCACAAUGGGCGCAAGCCUGAUGCAGCUAUGCCGCGUGUAUGAAGAGGGCCUUCGUGUUGUAAAGUACUUUCAGUCGGGAGGCGUUACCAACAGAAUAAGCACCGGCUAACUUCGGGCCAGCAGCCGCGUUAAUAC
rnacentral:rRNA from 1 species